GCAGUGGUGAUUCAGUGAUAGAAUACUUGCCCCCCAUGCAGGAGACCUGGGUACGAUUCCCAGCCAGUGCA
rnacentral:tRNA from 1 species